rnacentral:lncRNA from 1 species
GCGAGCGUUAGAAAUCUCUUAGCAACUUGUAGAGAUUUGCAGCAAAAGAAGAAUUUGGACAACCAUAGACCUAAGAAUGCUAUGUGUUCUAUAUCAGAAACUUCUUCAUCAUCAGCAUGAUAUAGAUUAAUGUAAGUACUGAAUGAAGCGUUCUUAACGUUGAAAUCAAUCAAGUUUUCACAGUCUUGGUAGGGGUCGAAGGUUUCUCCUGUCGGAGGAAGUCCAGCAAUGGCAGCUACGUCGAAAAGUGUGGGAGUCAUC